GAGUUUGAUCCUGGCUCAGGAUGAACGCUGGCGGCGUGCUUAACACAUGCAAGUCGAACGAAGCACUCUUUUAGAUUUCCUUCGGGGAAGAAGAAAUUGUGACUGAGUGGCGGACGGGUGAGUAACGCGUGGGCAACCUGCCCCAUACAGGGGGAUAACAGCCGGAAACGGCUGCUAAAACCGCAUAAGCGCACAAGGGCCGCAUGGCCUGGUGUGAAAAACUCCGGUGGUAUGGGAUGGGCCCGCGUCUGAUUAGCUAGUUGGCGGGGGAGAGGCCCACCAAGGCGACGAUCAGUAGCCGACCUGAGAGGGUGGCCGGCCACAUUGGGACUGAGACACGGCCCAAACUCCUACGGGAGGCAGCAGUGGGGAAUAUUGCACAAUGGGGGAAACCCUGAUGCAGCGACGCCGCGUGAGCGAAGAAGUAUUUCGGUAUGUAAAGCUCUAUCAGCAGGGAAGAAAAAUGACGGUACCUGAGUAAGAAGCACCGGCUAAAUACGUGCCGGCAGCCGCGGUAAUACGUAUGGUGCAAGCGUUAUCCGGAUUUACUGGGUGUAAAGGGAGCGCAGGCGGUGCGGCAAGUCUGAUGUGAAAGCCCGGGGCUCAACCCCGGGACUGCAUUGGAAACUACCGAACUAGAGUGUCGGAGAGGUAAGUGGAAUUCCUA
rnacentral:rRNA from 1 species